rnacentral:tRNA from 1 species
GGUCUGGUAGUUCAGUUGGUUAGAAAGUCCCGACUUCAUCGGGAAGGUCGCCAGUUUGAGUCUCGUCCAGACAA